rnacentral:ncRNA from 2 species
CAACUUCAUACCGGAACGGGUGCUUUCACCCCGAGGGGUGAAAGUGAAAAGGGAAGCCGGUGCAAAUCCGGCGCGGUCCCGCCACUGUGAGGGGGAGGGACUCCACAGCAAGUCACUGUCCAGCACUCACCGGUAAUAUUGGUAAAACCUUAAGCUAUAUUUUCACUAUUUGUCAAGCGUGCCAUUGGAUGUUACGGUUCAUCGGUGAGUGCUGGAUGGGAAGACGUGGAGCUCCGGUGAACCCGAGCCAGGAGACCUGCCCGUUACCGGAACGACCG